rnacentral:lncRNA from 1 species
CACAGAGUCAUAGAAUCCUGUGUUUGGGCAAUAAAUCUGUGCAAUCUGAAAACACAGAAGUCUCGUGUCAGGGAUGCCCACAGAAGUUUGCGUGCUUGGUCAGAAUAACAGUUGUCAACAUUCAGUUUUGACUCAGGAUGAAUCACUGUGAAAACUGCUUUCUGUGUUGCAUCAACACUUGCCAAAAAAACAGAAAGUGGUGGCAUCCAGAAAAACAACAAACAAAAUACCUCAUCAAGCUUUUAAAACCCUCAGUAAAGGCAUCCUGGGACAUACGGGAAAUCAGAGCCAUGAGGGCAGUCAGGCAGUGAUGCAUUGGACCUGCAGCUCUGUGACACCUCCGAGGUAUGAAGAGAAUCUCCAGAGUGCUUGCUUAUGAAAUUACCCUCCAAAAGACAAAAAGAAAUAAAAAAAAAAAAAAAAAAAAAAAAGGAAAAGCAGUGGGAGAGUGUGGAGAUACUUGGUUACUUGGUGGGAAAGUGGGUGAAGUGGGUGUCAGCAGGGUAUAACCGAAAUGUUCCUGAGAUGGUCUCUGCUUUGGUCUUGACAAAGACAUGUUGAAUGGGACACUGACCUCUUCAGACCAAAAAAAAAUCAUAUGUAUCUUGUACAGUAUUAAUAUUUAGGGACUGUGCAGGUGGUUUAGAGAAGAACUGGUGAAUCAGCAGGAAAAAAAUGUUUCCUAUGUCACCUCCUGUGACACAUUUCCUCCAACUGAAACCUUCACGUUGUGGCAGACAAGGUCUGCGUUUGAACUUCUGUUUCUGAAAAAGCCGUGGAUUUUUGUCCAGCUUGGUAAGACCCCAUGUGUGUCCUGCAUCUUGUCUUUUGGGACGGGAAUUUUCCCUGGCCACCACUGGGAUAGUGAAAUUUGCACAAAUGAGACUUUAAAUGCAGCCUUGGAGGAGUGUCAGAGGUGGCUUUAGACAACAGUGUGAAUUUCAGUGUGAAGUUCAGUGCGCAGUAUUGACUGUUGGUGAAGAUGUUCACAGGUUACUUGAAGAAGCAUGCAGGUAGCAAGCCCUACCACUAUUGCUGUCUUGCCACGAGGUGCUGCAGUGACUGAGGCAUUAGGCAUGGCAUUCUGCAUCCUUGUUCUGCUAGGUCUCAGGUACAGCACUGUGAAAUCCUGCAAGUGCAUGCCUGAACUGAUGUGUCUCCUCUAUACCUGCAACUACCAGCAUUGCUAAAGGACCACAGUAAUGCCUGUUAAAUGAACUGGAAAUACUGCUCAGAAUACUGCUGAGCUGUGCAAGACACCACCUGACCCUAUUUUAUCUGUAGCUGCAGAUUUAUGGCAGCAAGUGAAAAUGCCCACCAUGUUGUUCAACUCUGUGUAACUUCAAAUGUAAGCUUUUACUAUCCUUGCACUUCUGCCCUGCUCAUCCUCCAUAACCUUUCCUUGUCACCCCCCACCAUCCCCAACAAGGAAGGGAAAAAGUCCAGUAUGUGCAGUGGAUGACAAAGACAAAACAGAAAGGUGAGGGUUAAAGAGUUAAAAAGAUAGGAUGAUGAAUCUGGAUGGGGAUGUCCCCAGCCAACAAGUCUCCCUUUACAUUUU